rnacentral:rRNA from 1 species
UACGUAGGGUGCGAGCGUUAAUCGGAAUUACUGGGCGUAAAGCGUGCGCAGGCGGUUUUGUAAGCCAGAUGUGAAAUCCCCGGGCUCAACCUGGGAAUGGCAUUUGGGACUGCAAGGCUGGAGUGUGGCAGAGGAGACUGGAAUUCCUGGUGUAGCAGUGAAAUGCGUAGAUAUUGGGAAGAACACCGGUGGCGAAGGCGGCUCUCUGGACCGAUACUGACGCUGAGGCGCGAAAGCGUGGGGAGCAAACAGG